rnacentral:rRNA from 1 species
GGAGGGUGCAAGCGUUGUUCGGAAUCACUGGGCGUAAAGCGCGUGUAGGCGGCUUGGCAAGUCGAGUGUGAAAUCCCAGGGCUCAACCCUGGAACUGCACCCGAAGCUGCUUCGCUAGAGUCCCGGAGAGGGUGGCGGAAUUUCCGGUGUAGAGGUGAAAUUCGUAGAUAUCGGAAGGAACACCAGUGGCGAGGGCGGCCACCGUGGACGGUGACUGACGCUGAGACGCGAAAGCGUGGGGAGCAAACAGGGAUUAGAUACCCUGGUAGUCCACGCCGUAAACGUUGAGUGCUAGGCGUCGGGGGUAUUGACCCCCUCCGGUGCCCGGAGUUAACGCAUUAAGCACUCCGCCGUGGGGGAGUACGGCCGCAAGGCUA